GCCUGGGUGGCUCAGUUGGUUGAGCAUCCGACUUCAGCUCAGGUCACAAUCUCAUGGUUCGUGAGUUCGAGCCCCACGUCAGGCU
rnacentral:tRNA from 1 species